UACGUAGGGGCCUAGCGUUGUCCGGAUUUAUUGGGCGUAAAGGGCUCGUAGGCGGCCAACUAAGUCGGAUGUGAAAUCCCCAGGCUUAACCUGGGAACUGCAUCCGAUACUGGAUGGCUUGAAUCCGGGAGAGGGAUGCAGAAUUCCAGGUGUAGCGGUGAAAUGCGUAGAUAUCUGGAGGAAUACCGGUGGCGAAGGCGGCAUCCUGGACCGGCAUUGACGCUGAUGAGCGAAAGCUAGGAGAGCAAACGGG
rnacentral:rRNA from 1 species